GAUUAACGCUGGCGGCGUGCAUAACACAUUCAAGUCGAACGGUGACGGGGCUUCGGCCCCUGAUCAGUGGCGGACGGGUGAGUAACGCGUGAGCAAUCUACCUUCCAGUACGGGAUAACAACCGGAAACAGUUGCUAAUACCGUAUGAAAUGGCAACAUCGCAUGGUGCAACCAUCAAAGAUUUAUUGCUGGAAGAUGAGCUUGCGUCCGAUUAGAUAGUUGGCGGGGUAACGGCCCACCAAGUCGACGAUAGGUAGCCGGACUGAGAGGUUGAACGGCCACAUUGGAACUGAGAUACGGUCCAGACUCCUACGGGAGGCAGCAGUGGGGAAUAUUGGGCAAUGGGCGAAAGCCUGACCCAGCGACGCCGCGGGAGGGAAGAAGAUCUUCGGAUUGUAAACCUUAGUCAACAGGGAAGAAGAAAGUGACGGUACCUGUGGAGGAAGCCACGGCCAACUACGUGCCAGCAGCCGCCGUAACAC
rnacentral:rRNA from 1 species